rnacentral:rRNA from 1 species
ACGGGAGGCAGCAGUGAGGAAUAUUGGUCAAUGGAGGCAACUCUGAACCAGCCAUCUCGCGUGAAGGAAUACGGCCCUACGGGUCUUAAACUUCUUUUAUAGGGGGAUAAAGUGAGAUAUGUAUAUCUUUUUGUAGGUACCCUAUGAAUAAGCAUCGGCUAACUCCGUGCCAGCAGCCGCGGUAAUACGGAGGAUGCGAGCGUUAUCCGGAUUUAUUGGGUUUAAAGGGUGCGCAGGCGGCACGUUAAGUCAGCGGUGAAAUGUCGGGGCUCAACCCGGGCACUGCCGUUGAAACUGGCGAGCUUGAGUACGGAUGAAGUCGGCGGAAUGUGAUGUGUAGCGGUGAAAUGCUUAGAUAUGACACAGAACACCGAUUGCGAAGGCAGCUUGCUGGGACGCAACUGACGCUGAGGCACGAAAGUGCGGGGAUCGAACAGGAUUAGAUACCCUGGUA